UGCGUAGGUGGGCAGGUAAGUCAGUGGUGAAAUCUCCGGGCUUAACUCGGAAACUGCCAUUGAUACUAUCUGUCUUGAAUACCGUGGAGGUCAGCGGAAUAUGUCAUGUAGCGGUGAAAUGCUUAGAUAUGACAUAGAACAUCAAUUGCGAAGGCAGCUGGCUACACGAAUAUUGACACUGAUGCACGAAAGCUGGGGAUCAAACA
rnacentral:rRNA from 1 species